UCUGGUGCCUAUAGCGCGGGGGAAACACCUCUUCCCAUUCCGAACAGAGAAGUUAAGCCCCGCAGCGCCGAUGGUACUGCCCGAAAAGGGCGGGAGAGUAGGUCGGUGCCAGGG
rfam:Rhodothermus marinus DSM 4252, complete genome.